GACAGAGGGUGCAAACGUUGUUCGGAAUUACUGGGCGUAAAGCGCGUGUAGGCGGCUAAGUAAGUCGGGCGUGAAAUCCCACGGCUCAACCGUGGAAGUGCACUCGAAACUGCAUAGCUAGAGUCCUGGAGAGGAAGGUGGAAUGCUUGGUGUAGAGGUGAAAUUCGUAGAUAUCAAGCGGAACACCGGUGGCGAAGGCGGCGCUCUGGACCGAGACUGACGCUGAGGCGCGAAAGCGUGGGGAGCAAACAGG
rnacentral:rRNA from 1 species